ensembl:rRNA 5S_rRNA 5S ribosomal RNA
UCUUAUUGCCAUACUGUCCUGAGCAGUCCUCACUUUUUCUGAUCUUGGAAGCUAAGCAGGGUCGGGCCUGGUUAGUACUUAGAUGGGAGACCGCCUAGGAAGCUGUAAGCUUUUAGAC